rnacentral:rRNA from 1 species
GUCAAAAGUGGAUUAGGACCCUAAAGACACCAGAUCCCAUCUGAUCUUGGAAGCUAAGUGGAGACAGCCCUGGUUAGUACUUGGAAGGGGAAACUACCAAUGAUUACCAGGCACUAUAGACU